rnacentral:rRNA from 1 species
UACGGAGGGUGCAAGCGUCAUCCGGAUUCACUGGGUUUAAAGGGUGCGUAGGCGGAUAAGUAAGUCAGUGGUGAAAUCUCCGAGCUUAACUCGGAAACUGCCGUUGAUACUAUUUGUCUUGAAUGUUGUGGAGGUAAGCGGAAUAUGUCAUGUAGCGGUGAAAUGCUUAGAUAUGACAUAGAACACCAAUUGCGAAGGCAGCUUACUACACAAUUAUUGACGCUGAGGCACGAAACUUAUGGUAGUGAGAUGG